rnacentral:rRNA from 1 species
UGGGGAAUAUUGCACAAUGGGCGCAAGCCUGAUGCAGCGACGCCGCGUGCGGGAUGGAGGCCUUCGGGUUAUAAACCGCUUUUGUUCAAGGGCAAGGCAGGCUUUCGGGCCUGUUGAGUGGAUUGUUCGAAUAAGCACCGGCUAACUACGUGCC